rfam:Photobacterium gaetbulicola Gung47 chromosome 2, complete sequence.
GCGGAAGUGGCGAAAUUGGUAGACGCACCAGAUUUAGGUUCUGGCGCCGCAAGGUGUGAGAGUUCAAGUCUCUCCUUCCGCA